rnacentral:rRNA from 1 species
AGCGAACGCUGGCGGCAGGCCUAACACAUGCAAGUCGAACGAACUCUUCGGAGUUAGUGGCGGACGGGUGAGUAACACGUGGGAACGUGCCUUUUGGUUAGGAAUCACUCAAGGAAACUUGUGCUAAUACCGAAUGUGCUCUUCGGGGGAAGGAUUUUUCGCCAUUAGAGCGGCCCGCGUCUGAUUAGCUAGUUGGUGAGGUAACGGCUCACCAAGGCGACGAUCAGUAGCUGGUCUGAGAGGAUGACCAGCCACACUGGGACUGAGACACGGCCCAGACUCCGACGGGAGGCCGCAGUGGAGAAUCUUGCGCAAUGAGCGAAAGCCUGACGCAGCCAUGCCGCGUGAAUGAUGAAGGUCUUAGGAUUGUAAAAUUCCUUCACCGGGGACGAUAAUGACGGUACCCGGAGAAGAAGCCCCGGCUAACUUCGUG